GGCGACUGGGCGUUUCUCAACCAAACUAUCCCCUCGCCUUUUACUAGGGGAUACCGUGGGAGACGCCACUCAAUGUCGCAUUAGCCAAUUUUUCAGCACUCAGUACCAUCUGAGCC
rnacentral:snRNA from 13 species